CCUACGGGCGGCAGCAGUGGGGAAUAUUGGACAAUGGGGGGAACCCUGAUCCAGCCAUGCCGCGUGUGUGAAGAAGGUCCUCGGGUUGUAAAGCACUUUCAGUGAGGAAGAACGCCUGGUGGUUAAUACCCAUCAGGAAAGACAUCACUCACAGAAGAAGCACCGGCUAACUCCGUGCCAGCAGCCGCGGUAAUACGGAGGGUGCGAGCGUUAAUCGGAAUUACUGGGCGUAAAGCGCGCGUAGGUGGCUUGAUAAGCCGGUUGUGAAAGCCCCGGGCUCAACCUGGGAACGGCAUCCGGAACUGUCAAGCUAGAGUGCAGGAGAGGAAGGUAGAAUUCCCGGUGUAGCGGUGAAAUGCGUAGAGAUCGGGAGGAAUACCAGUGGCGAAGGCGGCCUUCUGGACUGACACUGACACUGAGGUGCGAAAGCGUGGGUAGCAAACAGGAUUAGAUACCCGAGUAGUC
rnacentral:rRNA from 1 species